rnacentral:lncRNA from 1 species
AGCACAAAGGAAGGGGGUCAAAGCCUGACGACUGCAAACUUUGUCAUCCUUAAUGUAUCGUCACCACGACUCAGCGUACCGCCCUCAAGCAGCAGGAAUCAUAUGCUGGAAGGUAUAGAAAUGCAGAAAUUUCCUUCUGAUCCAGACCUGUUCCUCACCUGAGUAAUACACCUUUGCAUCAAAAUCUGGGAUAUUGUCAUCUGGUCUCCAUACUUUCUAUCCGCACUUUCCCGCCAUGUUGAAAUAUUCGUUGAUCGCUUUGCUGCUGUGCUCACUGGCACUAGUCAGCAUCAGCGCACAACAGAUAGAACCUUUGCAGGAGGUUAUCGAGAAAACCCUAGACGGCAAACGAUCUUUGCCAAUGGACUUGGAGCCUAGAGAGCGUCGCGGGGUGGACUGGUUGACAAGGGAAGUCUAUCCAGCUCCGAUUAAUGCCGACGUCGAGUCUAGACAGCGUCGCCAGAUAUACAUUCUACCAACGGAAGGCGAUCUACCUCUGAUUUAUCAGGAUUAGGUCGAGAAGAGCUAGAGCCUUCCUUGACAAUUGUCUCCACAGGAAAGAUGAGAGACAGUCAACUAAGUGGAACUUCCGAAACCAGAAAACAACUCGUCUUUGCUUAUAGGUCGAAGUCUCUGAUCUUGUGGACUGUCUCUUGAGCCAAUGACAAAAAAGGUUUUGCACCAUAUGUUACUGAAGUAAAACAUUGAAGAAAUUA